rnacentral:rRNA from 1 species
AAGUUUGAUCAUGGCUCAGAUUGAACGCUGGCGGCAUGCCUUACACAUGCAAGUCGAACGGCAGCGCGGGGGCAACCUGGCGGCGAGUGGCGAACGGGUGAGUAAUAUAUCGGAACGUGCCCUGGAGUGGGGGAUAACGUAGCGAAAGUUACGCUAAUACCGCAUACGAUCCAAGGAUGAAAGCAGGGGACCUUCGGGCCUUGUGCUCCUGGAGCGGCCGAUAUCUGAUUAGCUAGUUGGUGGGGUAAAAGCCUACCAAGGCGACGAUCAGUAGCUGGUCUGAGAGGACGACCAGCCACACUGGAACUGAGACACGGCCCAGACUCCUACGGGAGGCAGCAGUGGGGAAUAUUGGACAAUGGGCGAAAGCCUGAUCCAGCAAUGCCGCGUGAGUGAUGAAGGCCCUAGGGUUGUAAAGCUCUUUUACCAGGGAUGAUAAUGACAGUACCUGGAGAAUAAGCUCCGGCUAACUCCGUG